rnacentral:lncRNA from 1 species
GAUAUCGUUGAAACCACAUGGCACCACAUCACAACCGAUGCUGUUGCUGCUUCUCGUGCUGCUGUUGCUACUGCUGCCGCUGCAACCACCUCUCCUCUUUACUAACGUUACCACACUAGCAUCACGACGACGACCACCGCCACGACCAUGACCACCACCAUCACCACCAUUAUUCAUCAUUUUCUAUGUUCAUCACCAUUAUCCCCACUACUAUCGCCAGUAACGCCGUCUCACCGCCUACCAUUAUCACUACCACCACCACCACCACCACUUCCACCACCGCCGCCUCCACCAUUGCCUCCACCGUUGACUCCGUCACCACCAUCAAUGUAAGAGGAUCACCUCCUUGACUUCGCAAUCCACCCAAUCGCUAUUAGCACCACCAACACCGGCCCCCAUCAUCACCACCACCAUCACAACCAGCAUCUCCACCAUCAUCGACACCGCUGCUGCCGCCGCCACCGCCGCAUCUUCCCUCACUACUACCACCGCCGCAUCUUCCCUCACUACUACCACCGCCACUAAUAUUAAUACAGGUACAUUCCUGCCUGCCCAUCACAAACCCACCCGAUCAUCAGUAAGAAGUACCACCCCCGCCACUGCCACUCCACCCCCAUCAAUACAAGAACAUCAAUGCCUGUCACACAAUCCACCUCAUCGUCACUAUCACCAAUAACACCGGUACCGCUACCAGCUCCAACAUCGCACCGCUUAACGCCAUCGCCACCAACAACAUUUCUACCAUCACACCUACAACCAACACCGUCGCCAUCAUAACACCAUCACGUACGUUGUAUCUCUUAUUUUUGUUGCCGGUGGUUGUGUUGGUGGUAGUGUUGGUGUGGGUGGCGAUGGUGGUUGGUGGUGGUGCUUGUGUUGGGGGUAACGGGGAUGGGUUAUACCCUUUUUAUUGGUUGCGCUGGUGAUGGUAGUGAUGUUGGUGAUGAGAGAUGUUGUGGUGGUAGUGUAUGUUUUUGUUGGUGGUGGUAGUGGCGGCGUUGGGUGUUGUGGGUGGUGUUGCUGGAUGUGGUGAUCUGUUGCUGCUGCUGCUGCUGCUGCUGAUGAUGAUGAUGAUGAUGAUGAUGACGACGGCGGUGUUGGUAACGGUAAGUUUUAAUCAUCCAGAACAAUUGACGGUACACGGAGAUACAACCAUCGUUAGAGAAAGAGAGAGACAGAGAUAAAGACAAAGGGUAAGUGUGAGGGACAGAUAGAAAGAGCGAGAGAGAGAGAGAGAGAAAGAGAGAGGAAGAAGGAGAAAGAGAAACGGAAAGCGAGAGAGGAGGGGAGGGAGAGAGAUCCGCCCAUUCAACAUUUGGAUAGCAGCACCGGAGCGACUAACUUCUCUAUUAACUGCCGUUGGAUAAUAAUGUUCACUAGCACGGUUGUUGAUGUUGUUUGCCGUUGUUGUAAUUGCGAUUAUUGUUGUUGUCUAGCCCCAGAUCAGCUCUGGUCAAGCAUACCUAGGAUCGAUAUGAUGCAGCUAUGAUCAUCCCAUAUAUCUUCCAGGCUAUGUAUGUCACUCACUCAUUCACUCACACAUUCUCUCUCACUUUCUCUCCUUCUCUCUCUCACUAUAUAUAUAUAUAUAUAUAUAUAUAUAUAUAUAUAUAUAUGAUAUGCAUAUAUGUAUUAUAUGCAUACGUACAUACAUAUAUAUAUAUAUAUAUAUAUAUAUUGAUUUAGAAGUGGACGAUGAGGGUGGUUGUGCGUGUGUGUCUAGGUGGGUGUGUAGGUGUGUGUAUGUCCAGGACAUCAUUUCGGUGUGUCGUUCGCAAUUUAAAACGGCAGCAGCAGUGAUUUUAAACUUUUAGCGCCCCACCAAACCACAUGCACGGAAUAAGGAUCUUGGUUUGUGUUUAUAUAUAUAUAUCAUAACAUAGCGAAGACAUGACACGAUAUAGGUAAAGAAAUUUGAGAAAUUUGAAAAGAAAAUACGAAACCGGUGAUUUCUCCAAAAACUGUUACUAUACGCAAAAUUUUAUAAAAUUUUUCUAAGACAUAACGAUUUAAAUAUAUUCUUUAACCAUAUAACACAAGCCUUCUAUAGUUUUUUCACUCUUUUUUGUCAUCUAUACAUCAAGCCACGUGCUUUCACAUACCAACUCUACCAACUCUCUCUCUCUCUCACGCACACACACAGACAUAUAUAUUUAUACAUGCAUAUAUGGAUAUAGUUAUGUGUGCAGCGAGUAUACAUGUAUGCAUGUGUAUAUGCGCGCGCGCACGUGCGUGCAGCAUGUAACUGUGAUUAAUGAACCGAGAAUUUCCUGUAUGGCACCUAUAAAGUUUUAGCCCUUGAAUUACUUUGUGACUUGUGCCAUUUAAAAAUAAUAAUGAUGUUCAAUAUGAAUAACUCUGACAAUCUUUUCAGAUUUUGGCACUAGGCCAGCAGUUUUGUUAGGAGGCGGAAGUUGUCUACCCUAGAGCCCAACUGGUUCUUAUCCCGAAAAGAUGAAGAGAUUAAUAAUAAUAAUAAUAAUAAUAAUAAUAAUGACGA